AGCAGUAGCCACGGUAAUACGAAGGGUGCAAGCGUUACUCGGAAUUACUGGGCGUAAAGCGUGCGUAGGUGGUGGUUUAAGUCCGUUGUGAAAGCCCUGGGCUCAACCUGGGAAUUGCAGUGGAUACUGGGUCACUAGAGUGUGGUAGAGGAUAGUGGAAUUUCCGGUGUAGCAGUGAAAUGCGUAGAGAUCGGAAGGAACAUCUGUGGCGAAGGCGACUAUCUGGGCCAACACUGACACUGAGGCACGAAAGCGUGGGGAGCAAACAGGAUUAGAUACCCCAGUAGUCCCUGUCUCUUAUAA
rnacentral:rRNA from 1 species